GCUGCAGUGAAAUGCGUUUACAUCGACAGCGACAGCAGUGCCUCCGAGGAUCUACGCACGAUUUUGACAGCGAGGCACGAAGCGUGGGAUCAACAUGAUCAGAUACCCUGGUAGCCCACGUGUAAAUAAUGUGUGUAGUCGCUGGGGAGUUUACUGUUCGCUGACGAAGCAAACGCGUUAAGCACACCGCCUGGAAGUACGGUCGCAAGUUUAAAACUCAAAGGAGUGACUGGGACCCGCACAAGCGGUGGAGUAUGUGGUUUUUUUCGUCGCAACGUGAAGAACCUUACCAGGCCUUUACAUGCCCUGUAUGGGCUCCAGAGACGGAGUCCUUCACUUUGGGUGGGAGGGACACAGGAAUGCAUGGCUGUCGUCAGCUCGUGUCGUAAGAUGUAGGGUUAAGUCCCGCAAAGAGCGCAACCCCUUUUGUCAGUUGCCAUCAGGUAAUGCUGGGAACUCCGCCGAUACUGCCGGUGAUAAGCCGGAGGAAGGCGGGGAUGACGUCAAGUCCUCAUGGCCCUCACGGCCUGGGCCACACAUGUUCUUCAAUGGCGAUGACAAUGGGCAGCAAGCCAGGGAUGGCAAGCAAAUCCCUAAAAGUCACCUCAGUUCAGAUUGUGCUCUGCAACUCGAGCACAUGAAGUUGGAAUCGCUAGUAAUCGUGGAUCAGCACGCCACGGUGAAUACGUUCCCGGGUCUUGUACACACCGCCCGUCAAGUGAUGGGAAUUGGUUCCACCUGAAGUCGGGGCGCUAACCGCAAGGAAGUAGCCGACCACGGUGGGGUCAGUGACAGGCACUAAGUCGUAACAAGGUAACCA
rnacentral:rRNA from 1 species